UAAUACCGCAUGUGCUCUUCGGAGUAAAGCUUCGGCGGUUUGGGAACGGCCUGCGUAUGAUUAGCUUGUUGGUGAGGUAAUGGCUCACCAAGGCGACGAUCAUUAGCUGGUCUGAGAGGAUGAUCAGCCAGACUGGGACUGAGACACGGCCCAGACUCCUACGGGAGGCAGCAGUAGGGAAUUUUCCACAAUGGGCGAAAGCCUGAUGGAGCAACGCCGCGUGCAGGAUGAAGGCCUUAGGGUUGUAAACUGCUUUUAUCUGUGACGAUUUUGACGGUAGCAGAUGAAUAAGGAUCGGCUAACUCCGUGCCAGCAGCCGCGGUCAUACGGAGGAUCCAAGCGUUAUCCGGAAUUACCGGGCGUAAAGAGUUGCGUAGGUGGCAUAGUAAGUUAGAAGUGAAAUCGUGUGGCUCAGCCAUGCUCACAUUUCUAAAACUGCUAAGCUAGAGUAUAAGAGAGGUAGCUGGAAUUUCUAGUGUAGGAGUGAAAUCCGUAGAUAUUAGAAGGAACACCGAUGGCGUAGGCAGGCUACUGGCUUAUUACUGACACUAAGGCACGAAAGCGUGGGGAGCAAACGGGAUUAGAUACCCCGGUAGUCCACGCCGUAAACUAUGGAUGCUAGCUGUUAUUCGUAUCGACCCGAGUAGUAGCGAAGCUAACGCGUUAAGCAUCCCGCCUGUGGAGUACGAGCGCAAGCUUAAAACAUAAAGGAAUUGACGGGGACCCGCACAAGCGGUGGAGCGUGUUGUUUAAUUCGAUGGUAAGCGAAGAACCUUACCCAGGCUUGACAUCCUUGGAAUUUCUCCGAAAGGAGAAAGUGCUUUAUUGAACCAAGUGACAGGUGUUGCAUGGCCGUCGUCAGGCUCGUGUCGUGAGAUGUUUGGUUAAGGUCCAUCAAACGAGCGGCCAAACCCUUGUUAG
rnacentral:rRNA from 1 species